AAGGAAUGAGCUAUACCUUGCUGCGUGCCACCAGAAUGUGCUAUGAUGAAUUCUCUCCAAGAUCAGGGACCACCUUCAAGCAGUCCUGAAAAAUGACACCCAAAACCAGUAAAAAAUGGAGGGGAGAAAAGAUCUCCUGGUGUACCAGCCCUGGAAGGACCAACCUGUGAUCUCACUCCUGGAUGACUCUGCAAAGAAAAAUUCCAUAGGCACAGCUUGGUUUAGGUGAACUAACUUGGCAAAAACAAAUUCUCUUCAAGUUCUCACCUUUCUACCCCAAUUUUAAGAUACACAUCUCCCUCUUCCCCAAAUACCACUUGAAAAAAUUUCUAAUACCUGGAUUUAUCAUACAAUCAAGAGAGGCACAGCAAGAGAGGGAACACAAGCAAUGGGAGUGAGAGAGGGAAAAGCAGGCUUCCCACUGAGCAGGGAGCCUGAUGUGGGACUUGAUCCCAGGACCCUGGAACCUGAGCUGAAGUCACGCUGAGAAAAUGAAACUUUCUACUUCUACCAACUGUAUCCCAUAGAAAACAGUAAAAUGAAGAAAUAAAGUUUGCUAGAUUUAUCACCAGAA